AAGAAGAGAGCUACACGCCGGUGAGACGCCGUCGCCGAUAGCUCCCAACAAGAAAAGAAAAGUCCACCAACAUGGAUCACACGGCCGGUUAUACGUCGUCGCCGAUAGACCCCAUCGAGCGGACCCAAAAGCCUGAAAGUUUCAGCCGGUGAGACGCCGUCGCCAAAAACUAACAAAAGAAGAGAAGCCAAACUAGAAAAAAGAACCGAGUUCGCCAAAGCAGAGCCCACGAGGAAGGGCAGCGGCACAGGCGCAACCAGCCCUUCCACCGAACGCCACUCCUGUAGAAAAAAGAACCGAGUUCACAUCUAUGAUUCUAAUAUGUGUAUGAUAAGUGUUUGACAAAAAAAUAGAGAUUGACAUGUCUUAAUUGUGCCUCUUUGCCUCGACUACUAUUGCCAAUAAAAAAACUACAUAAAUUAUGAGUUUAUAUAUCUACAUAUAAUUAAAAUAAAAGCUACUGCUGACUGCUGCUUGUUUUCUUGCUUCACUUUUUUUUUUUAAUCAUGCGAAGUUAUACUUAUAGAUUAAUAUAUUUAAUGAGGAUUAGGAAUCCUCAAACCUCAAAAAGUUGCGCCUCAUGAGCCCCAAGUAUUCUAAAAGUUGCAGC
rnacentral:lncRNA from 1 species